AUUGAACGCUGGCGGAAUGCUUUACACAUGCAAGUCGAACGGCAGCACGGGGCAACCUGGUGGCGAGUGGCGAACGGGUGAGUAAUACAUCGGAACGUGCCCAGUCGUGGGGGAUAACGUAGCGAAAGUUACGCUAAUACCGCAUACGAUCUAAGGAUGAAAGCGGGGGAUCGCAAGACCUCACGCGAUUGGAGCGGCCGAUAUCAGAUUAGGUAGUUGGUGGGGUAAAGGCUCACCAAGCCGACGAUCUGUAGCUGGUCUGAGAGGACGACCAGCCACACUGGGACUGAGACACGGCCCAGACUCCUACGGGAGGCAGCAGUGGGGAAUUUUGGACAAUGGGCGAAAGCCUGAUCCAGCCAUGCCGCGUGCAGGAUGAAGGCCUUCGGGUUGUAAACUGCUUUUGUACGGAACGAAAAGGUUUGGCCUAAUAAGCUGAGCUCAUGACGGUACCGUAAGAAUAAGCACCGGCUAACUACGUGCCAGCCGCCGCCGUAA
rnacentral:rRNA from 1 species